CCUAGCAAAACUAAUGAAUGGAGUUGAACCUAUACUGGUUUGUCUAGGAAAAAAAAACAAUCGCGAGUUAGCAGAAGUUAGAUCUUGUAUAAACUCGACUGACCAUUACGUAUCUUGUGGUAUAGGUGUAGGAGAUUUAAAUUGUGAUCCUUCACAAGAUGUAGUGUGGGAAUAAAAUAUUACUAUGUAAUCUCUAUGCAAG
rnacentral:lncRNA from 1 species